rnacentral:lncRNA from 1 species
UGUGUGUGUGUGUGUGUGUGAACUGUGUGAACUCCUGAGGAGGACCUUGACAAUGCAGGGAAAGUGAAUGACAAGUCAAUCUGCAUUCCAAUGGAGGAGGAAGACCCAGACAGGGCUAAAUAGUAGGAUCACUAGCCAGGGGACAGGUUAGGUUAGGAGGCUGAGGAGGCUGUUAUGGUUACAGUCAGACAGGGGACAGGUUAGGUUAGGGGGCUGAGGAGGCUGUUAUGGUUACAGUCAGACAGGGGACAGGUUAGGUUAGGGGGCUGAGGAGGCUGUUAUGGUUACAGUCAGACAGGGGACAGGUUAGGUUAGGGGGCUGAGGAGGCUGUUAUGGUUACAGUCAGACAGGGGACAGGUUAGGUUAGGGGGCUGAGGAGGCUGUUAUGGUUACAGUCAGACAGGGGACAGGUUAGGUUAGGGGGCUGAGGAGGCUGUUAUGGUUACAGUCAGACAGGGGACAGGUUAGGUUAGGGGGCUCUUGGUUCUUAGUGUGUUUGUCUGGGCAUGUUGAGCAGUGGUUUAGUUGUGCAGUGGUUCUGUGGGUUCUAGAAUAGUUCAACUAGAAGUGAAUUUUGGGUCAUUCCAGAUGUGACAAAGUCCAGAUGAAAUCUAGAGGGAUGAAAUCUAGAGGGGUGAAAUCUAUAGGGGGUAUGCUAGGACAUGUUGAUUGUAUAGAGGAGGAUUGUAGUUCAUGUUUUAGUUUGAUAGUUCUAUUGACCAUUUUAUCUCAUCAAACUGAACUACAGAACAUAAUAAUCUAUAUUUUAUCUCACCAAACUGAACUACAGAACAUAAUAAUCUAUAUUUUAUCUCAUCAAACUGAACUACAAAACAUAAUAAUCUAUAUUUUAUCUCACCAAACUGAACUACAGAACAUAAUAAUUUAUAUUUUAUCUCAGCAAACUGAACUACAGAACAUAAUAAUCUAUAUUUUAUCUCACCAAACUGAACUACAGAACAUAAUAAUCUAUAUUUUAUCUCACCAAACUGAACUACAGAACAUAAUAAUCUAUAUUUUAUCUCACCAAACUGAACUACAG